GAAGAGCACAUGAACUUUGUUAUGAUGGGAAUGUUUCAAUUAUUUUCAUAUUUCUACAUCUCCAAAAUCAUUGAAUCUGCCCAUAUGCAUUCAGAAAAUGAUUUUAACCAGCCAAUGGACUGGAAUUCCCAUAUGUUUAUUUCAGUUAACAAGUUAAUUUGAAAUCAAAUCAACAAUUAGCAAUCCUUUUGUAGCCAUUGAAGUUGUAAGCAUGUGAAAACAGAAUCAAAAUCUUUGUGUACUAAACAAAUUGAUUGCCAAUUUUGUAGAUGUCUCACCUCAUUAGAACCCGGAGGCCGAUGACUUCUACACUUAGUCCGACGGCUACACCUAGUUCGACGACUAUACCUACUACUGCCGCCAUUGCUCCGACAGAGAUGGACCAUAGGCCGAUCAAUCCGGUUCACUCAGAUGGUCCUCCAGUCCCACAGGCGCAGGCAUCGUCGACUUUUUCGGUGGCGUUACCUAUUAGCGCCAAACGAACUCAUCGACACCCCCGCACUAUGGACCAGAUGUCGCCAUCGGGAUCCACAACCGAUGCCUCCGGUACACGUAUACAAUCCCAAUUCACUCCUUCAUUCCCUUGUUUACUAAGUUUUUUUAUUUUAGGUUCAAUUUGUUAUGUCAUGUAAGGAUUAAAAAGUUUUCAUCGUUCCGAACCUUUUAUUAAACUGUUGUGAUCAUUGUGUUGGAUAUGUAUAUUGUUUAUGUUAUUUUCAGGGUUUUGGGAAAUGCUUUAAUUAUAGGAGAGGUAAUGCCGAAAUUUUAGUAGGAUUUGUUAUUAGUUAUGGGUUAAUGAUUUUUUUUCAUCUCUUUGCAGCGAAGAAAAACACCCAGCGAAUUUGUUGGCAAUUGAAGACGGGGAAGGUCACCCGGGUGACCAACGGUCGUAUCCCAAUCGGAUACAAUGAGCGACAUCGGGCAGCACCAACGGCUGAGCAGCAUGGUGCAUUGGCCCACGACAUUGGGCAUGUUGUGCGGACCUUUUGCCCUAUGUUGUGGAAGUCUUGGAAGGCGAUGCUGAAGGAGACGAAGAUUAUGACAAACUGCAAUUUGGAGCACAUGGACGAAGACAAGUUCGUGUAUGUCAAUCGGCUCUUCUUUGAACGCUACAAGUAGUGGAAGAGUGACCUGCACCAAUGGUUCCAGGAGUUUGAUGAUCCGCAGGUCGCUUUUGAGAAGGGAUGUCCGAAGGAGUUGGAGGACCGACAAGAUAGUUGGGUUUGGCUUUGCGGUCAUUUUAAGGACCCGACAUAUGUGAAGAAGGCGAAGGCGAACAAAAUCAAUCGAGAUAAGAAGACUCUUCUCCACCAUUCGGGUUCGAGGCCUUUCUCCUAUAGGAUGGAGGCGCGACGGAAGAUUUUAGAAGGGUUCAAAUUUUCUGGAGAUCGACGUCUUUGCUGACGUUUAUGUUCGGCCUGGGAAUGAGUUGACCCAGUCCCUUCAUCAACUAUGGUGGAGAAGCGACAGGUGGUGCUUCAGGAGUUCGCCUCCCACCUUCCCUCGAACACGCCGAUCGAGUCUGUGGAUCCCCUUGACAAUGCAGGGUUUCACAUCGUCACAGAGACGUUGGACCAGACUUUCAGUAGGAGGCCAGGGACAUAUUGUCGGGGGAUGGGAAAUGCCAGGCGUCGAGAGACUACAGCCUCGUCAUCCUCGCAGUCAAAGACCAAGGUUACGGCUUUGACGCAGGAAGUCGCUAGGUUGAGGAGUAAGCUGGCAUCGUACAAGUCUCAAAUGUCAAUGCUUGUACAAGCCCUCAGUUCCUCUGGAAUACAUCUCCCCAGUUUUUCGACACCAUCGCCCUCACAGCCCUUCCACACCGAGCAAGCACAGCAAUCAAGCCCGUCGACCUCCAACCCUUCCCCAACCAGUAGCAAGAUUACCAAGCACCUUUGAAUGACAUGCCUAUAGAUUUUGCCUCUUUAUUUUCGUAGUUUUGUUCCCUUUUUUUUUAACUUUAUAUUUGUACGUACAUUUUUAUUUAUAUCAUAAAUAACAAACUUAUUCAUUAA